UUGUCUUUCCAUCUAAUUUUUAUUAGCUUCGCUUGAAUUAUAUCGACCACUUCAGAAAAUCUGGCAAUCACCGCUUCUUUGGCUUCUAACUUCUUGCUCUUCUUGUUCUUAUCGGUACCAGGCAGACAACUCUUUGAGAAACUUGGCAGAUGCAGGUUCUCUGUAUCAAAAACCAAUCUAGCAAUAGUUUAAAAGCUCAGACGUCUGGAAAUUGCAGUUUUCCAGUUCCACACCUUUUCGCUCCUCGCAGUUGCUGAUCUUAUCGCUAAUUUUUCUCUCUGGGUUAUUAUUUUUUAUAACAAGAAGUUGAUCGUGAAGUUAGCUGCUGGAUCCAUUCUAUAGGAGACCCAAGGUAGAUCUGUCGGCGUCCGCAGACCAUGGAGUCCCCUUCUAGACAUUUCAUUUUACUAUUUCUUUCAUUUCGAAAACAGUUGUAUUUACUUGUAAUGAAAUCUUAGAAGUUCGUGAAUUGUGAUUCUAGAUCUGGGUAGUGGAAUAACUUUAGUAAUUCUUUAAAUUACUAAAGAAUUAAGCUCAAAUUUUUACAAGAAAUUGAGCUCCCAAAAAAGCGUACAAUAUACCAUCAAUUUUUUAUUGUGCUUCCCGUGAUUAAAAGUUAAUCAGAGGAUACUUUUGUCA